rnacentral:lncRNA from 1 species
UUUUAUCGUCCCUUGCCUCGACAGUCCAAAAUCAACUACAACAAGAAAUUCUGAAGCAAAUGAAAUUACUGCAAAGGCUAUGCUAAUUUCAAUAGAGACAGGUUGGCAUGAUAAUUCUCAUGUUGAGUAUACAACAAAAUAAAUAACUGAAACUAAACUAAUAUUUGAAUAUGCAGAAGUUACAUUUGGAAAUCCUGAUUUUAUUUCAAUUUAUAUCAAACUUCAUGUGAGAUGAAUCGAGGAACAUGUACCUGGAAAAUGAAAUGUAGGAAAGCAAAGGAUAAGUCAGUGACCAAAUAGCACAGCAUAUGAAGCUCAGCAGCCAAGCAUAACCAGAAAAUGAUUCGAAAUACUUCAAAACCAAUCUCAAUUGAGCAAGUAAUCACAGCAGCCUUCACAAACCAAACUCUUUUGAAGCAAAACCCAAGCUCAAAAAUUAACCCAUUUAGACAAGAGGGGUUGCUCUGAUGGUAAGCAACCCCCACUUCCAACCGAGAGGUUGUGUAUAUAUUAAUUAAUGAUACAAAUGUUGUUGAGAUCAAUCUAGUGACAGAUAAAACAAAAAUUUAUAUGAGCAAAAAUAGGUAAGAGAUUAAUUAUUAAAUACAUACCAGGAGAAGCACUAGGAGUGGUGGUACCUAAAAUCGAACCAUAGGAAAUAAGUCAAAUACAUAAAUCUUCACCCUCAUAUGUAAAAUUCAUGGGGUAUUAAAAAACUCUCACACUGUCACUACUCAAGAAUAUGUUCUCAAUUCAUCUCUUCUUCCUCAAAAUACCCUAUAUGAUAGAUAAUAAGAGGUUGCUAUGACAGUAAGCAACCCUCACUUCCAAUGGAGAGGUUCGAGUCUCCUCAAUAGUAAUGUGGGAAGUUCUUGGAGGGAAGGAUACCGGGGGUCUAUUUGGAAACAACCUCUCUACCCUAUGGUAGGGGUAAGGUCUGCGUACAUACUACCCUCCCCAGACCCCACUAAGUGGGAUUACACUGGGUUGUUGUUGUUGUUUAAUUCUCAAUGAAUCAGAAAUUGCUCAUUUUUGUAAACUGAAAACUUAAAGCAUCAGAGAAUGGAUUCAAUGCAACAAUAAAACAGUUCAGUUGUUGGAAAUUUCUGAAGCUUUCUAUGUUCUAAACUCUCUCUGUUUUCAGAUUGCCUGUGUCUCUCUCUAUCAAAUUUUCAGAGUGAUUUAUCAGUGUA